rnacentral:rRNA from 1 species
GACGAACGCUGGCGGCGUGCUUAACACAUGCAAGUCGAACGGAAAGGCCCCGCUUUUGUGGGGUGCUCGAGUGGCGAACGGGUGAGUAACACGUGAGUAACCUGCCCUUGACUUUGGGAUAACUUCAGGAAACUGGGGCUAAUACCGGAUAGGCGCUCCUGCUGCAUGGUGGGGGUUGGAAAGUUUCGGCGGUUGGGGAUGGACUCGCGGCGUAUCAGCUUGUUGGUGGGGUAGUGGCUUGCCAAGGCUUUGCCGGGUAGCCGGCCUGAGAGGGUGACCGGCCACAUUGGGACUGAUAUACGGCCAAGACGCCUACGGGAGUAAGGAGUGGGGAAUAGUGCACUAAGGGCGGAAGCCUGAUGCAGCAACGCCGCGUGCGGGAUGACGGCCUUCGGUUGGUAGCCCGCUUGCGCCUGUGUCGGAGCGUGAGUGACGGUAAUGGGUAAAGAAGCACCGGCUAACUACGUG